GCUUCCGGGCUGCUUUGUUUACCUAAUCAAGCCCGGGCAAUGGCGGGCGCCCCUCCCCCAGCCUCGCUGCCGCCUUGCAGUUGGAUCUCAGACUGCUGUGCUAGCAAUCAGCGAGACUCCGUGGGCAUAGGACCCUCCGAGCCAGAUAUAUUGUUGUUUAUAAUUGCACUCCUGUGUCCUUACAGGCCACUUCCUCUUUCUCUCUCUCUGUGAUCUCAGGCAUGUUGUGUGCUUCCAGCUCAAGCCGGCUCUGUGUUUUAGGCCAACCAACACAAUUCAUAUAACAUCCUUGCACAUUUCCACCAUUUCCCGCCUCACCAUGCCUCAGAGGACUACAGGCUCCCCAAGACGGGACAUGGUUGGGCAGGUACCGGAUAGAUGCUGUCACUGCUGAAAAAGAAAAAAAUAUCCAAAGUAUUCACGUUGUACCUGCUGAGUGCCAGUACUGCAUGCUCUGGGGAUUCCAUUCCUGCCCCUAUGGAAGAGGGGUCAACUUUUCCAAAACAUCAUCUUCUAGAGGAAGAAGCUGAAGCCCAGCAAGGAAAAGUAACAUAACGAAGAUCUCAGCAGAAUGACGGUUAUCUGAGCAUCUAUAUUCUGGGGUUGCAAAAAGAACAAGAACGUAGGGUUCAAUGGACCUGAGUUCCAGGCCUCACUCUGUCACCAGCUGACUGUAAGAAGCCCACCCACCUCCACCUUCUCUAGAUCACAUGUUUUAUGGCCGCCUCAAAGGCGUGAAGCAGGUGAGUCGUGCUGCCUCUGCCAACAUCUGCUUUGUGAGCCUGGGAGUAUUUCACGGAGAUGUUUCUCUCGACAGGUUUAUGGCUGGUCUUGGCUCAGUGCCUUGAAAACACUGAUCAUGUGAUGAAACGAGAAUGUCAUGCUGCGGGCCAUCAAUAAACCACACUGGCAUUCCCGCUCCCACCCCGACACCACUCCACCCAUGCAAUUUCCCUCCCCUUCAGCCUCCUCCCUCCCCACCUCCCAAAGAU
rnacentral:lncRNA from 1 species